AGAGUUUGAUCAUGGCUCAGAGUGAACGCUGGCGGCAGGCCUAACACAUGCAAGUCGAGCGGCAGCACGGGGGCAACCCUGGUGGCGAGCGGCGGACGGGUGAGGAACACAUCGGAAUCUACCCUGUCGUGGGGGACAACGUAGGGAAACUUACGCUAAUACCGCACGAUCUGGAGACAGCAAAGCCGGGGACUCGCAAGAGCCUGGCGCGAUGGGAUGAGCCGAUGUCCGAUUAGCUAGUUGGCGGGGUAAAGGCCCACCAAGGCGACGAUCGGUAGCUGGUCUGAGAGGACGACCAGCCACACUGGAACUGAGACACGGUCCAGACUCCUACGGGAGGCAGCAGUGGGGAAUAUUGGACAAUGGGGGCAACCCUGAUCCAGCCAUGCCGCGUGGGUGAAGAAGGCCUUCGGGUUGUAAAGCCCUUUUGUACGGGAAGAAAAGCCACGGUUGAAUAUUCCGUGGUGCUGACGGUACCGUAAGAAUAAGCACCGGCUAACUUCGUGCCAGCAGCCGCGGUAAUACGAAGGGUGCAAGCGUUACUCGGAAUUACUGGGCGUAAAGCGUGCGUAGGUGGUUUGUUAAGUCUGAUGUGAAAUCCCCGGGCUCAACCUGGGAAUGGCAUUGGAUACUGGCAGGCUAGAGUGCGGUAGAGGGUGGUGGAAUUCCCGGUGUAGCAGUGAAAUGCGUAGAGAUCGGGAGGAACAUCUGUGGCGAAGGCGGCCACCUGGACCAGCACUGACACUGAGGCACGAAAGCGUGGGGAGCAAACAGGAUUAGAUACCCCAGUAGUCC
rnacentral:rRNA from 1 species